rnacentral:lncRNA from 1 species
AGUCUGCGGCGGGGGCUUUGUUCUGAGUGAAGCAAGCGGGCGGCAGAGCUGGAGGUUUCACAAGGCUGCUGGGAGAGGCUUCGGUGCAGGAACCCAAGUCCAAGUUUGCUUCUUAGGAUGUGUAAAGCAUGGUCUUUAAGAAAGAGAACCUGGAUUUCAUUGAAUUGUAUUUAUGUCGAAUCACGACCAUCCCAGAUGAGUACUUUGGAGGGAGCAGAACUAGUUCUCUUGUGCAAUUAUUAGCAUGAACUCUGUGCAUGAAAGCAACAUCAGGAGUCUGCCUGGGUCCGAGAGGAGUUCAGCCUUACUACAGCCUCAGAUGAGAACAGGAGUGGGACCAGCUCUGAGUUAGAUGAAACCCAGAAGACUUCAGAGAAAGUCCUCUAUCACUUCCAGCCCAGCCCAGUAAGGGAAACUGGGACUCUUCCUCCUUUUGUUCUACUCAAGUUGCUGCUUCCAAGGCUCUGUGACCGACAAGGGAUGGACUGGACUAUUAAUCUAAAAUGUUUAAUUUUUAAAGUCAUUUGUCAUAGAGAGUCACAACCCCGAGCAAUGAAAAUAUUUUUUAAUUCAUAGGUGAGUGUUGGGUUUUGGUUUGGUUUUGUUUUGUUUUUACCUCACUCCAAACUACUCAUCUUGGGUUUGUGUUGUCCUGGGGUUCUUCAGUUGGGUACCAGAACAGUCUGGUGCACAGUGAGUGAAGCUAUCACUGGCAAGCCUUGGCAUGAGUUGAGCAGGUGUAGUUAACUCAACAUUAAUUGUGCUCCUUGUAAUAAAUCCAUCUCUACCCUAAA